UUUAAGUUCCGGCUGAAAGAAAAGGUAUUGAAGUACUCUCCUCCUCGGUAAGAACUCGAUGGUUCCGCCGGAAAUACAGCUCGUCUUCCGGGUUGUUUUUUGGGCGGAUGAGCGAGUUGUCGAUGUGAAGCGGGAAAUCAAUUUGAAAGUUAUGGAUAUAAACCUCAGUCCAGGAGCCAUAGAGGGAAUCUCAGAAUCCAGUCCAGGAGUCAUCGAUGGGAUUUCAGAACCCAGUCCAGAAGUCAUAAAUGAGAGCUUAGAAUCCAGUUCAGGAGCUAUAGAGGGGAUCUCAGAACCAUACUUCAGUUUUGGAGUUAUAGCAGAUAUUCAAUAUGCUGAUUUAGAAGAUGGCUAUAAUUACCUAAGAACCAGAAGGAGAUAUUACCGAUACAGUCUUCAUCAUCUUCAAGGGGCUAUUGAAGAGUGGAAUGAAGAAAGCAGUCAUCCCUCUUUUGUGUUGCAACUUGGUGAUCUCAUUGAUGGAUUUAAUGCACAAUAUAAAAUGUCAGAAGAGUCACUUAAAAAUGUCAUAAAAGAAUUUAAAAAACUCAGACCCCCUAUUCAUCAUACAUGGGGAAACCAUGAAUUAUACAACUUCAGCAGAGACUAUUUAAGAAACUCUAAACUUAACACAAAGUUUUUAGGAGACCAGAUUGCACAUUGUCCUGAGACUAUACCUUCAGAAAACUAUUAUGCUUACCACUUUGUACCUUUCCCUAAAUUUCGGUUUGUUUUACUUGAUGCUUAUGAUCUAAGUGUCCUUGGAAUGGACGAGUCUUCUCCAAAAUAUCAGGAAAGUAUGAAGAUGCUGAAGGAGAAGAAUCCAAAUGAGGAACUGAAUAGCCCUCAAGGACUUUCCGAACCUCAGUUUGUCCAGUUUAAUGGAGGAUACAGUCAAGAACAAUUGGACUGGUUCAAUGCAGUUCUUACUUUCUCUGACACAAACCAAGAAAAGGUAGUAGUUGUGGUAGUGGGCAGAGACCUGCUGAGGAGGAAAAAGAAACUGGGCAGAAAUAAGCUGUUUGAAUGGGUCACAUUCCUAUUCACCCAGACUCCUCUGACAGUGUGUGCCUUGCCUGGAAUUACAGAGAUGCUCUCUCAAUUAUUUGGUCUCAUAAAUGUGUGGUGUGUUUCCUUGCUGGUCACACUCAUGAUGGAGGACAUUCUAUAAGGAGAAAAUCAAAAGUAUGGAUUUUUGACAGCUGCCUUAUUUAACAAUGAUAGUCUGAUGCCAGGUAUUCAAGGCAAACUUUUAAUUGGGUGCUGCACUCAGACAAUCCAUUUGUGGAAGAAGCAUCAGUGAAAAAUUGACUGCCAGUAUGGAGAAUAAAUGGUAAGAAGUCACUGCAAUGGCUAGGCUAAGGAAAUGAAUGAUCCAAAUUAUCUGUGAUAGUAACCUUAGAAGGAUCAACAAACAACCCAGAGCAACCAACUACUCAUCUCACUUGUUAAAGAUACUAGAAUACCCCCAAAUCUCACUUAGUGUGUGAUAUUUUCAGUAAUGAACAAUAAAAUUUAGCCUCAUUAAAUAAAUGUUUAAUUUUGCCUGAGGGAAACAUUUGAUGAUCACUGCCAAAGAUAUGGAAAAUUACUGAAGGAAAUUUCUAUGCUCAAUAAUAAUGUACAAAACCAUUAAAAUUAUGGAUAUAGAACACAAUCUUUAGUAUUCACUAAAGAUAUAAAUGUCCUUUCUGGAAGGAGGACCUGUAGGAGAAAUUGAAAGAAGAAAAUGUACUGGAGAAUUGAAAAUUUUGAAGGUUUUGGAUUUCUGAAGAUCAGAGAAUAAAUCUGAGGAGGUGAAAUUUAUGAGUACUUGAGAAAUUAAAAGAAGAGAAUAAAAACAAUUUAGGUAGAACUCAUGGACUCAUUUUACUCUCAAAGAGAAAAAUGAUUAUAAGACAAAGUAACCAUGAAUCUAGAUUGCCUCAUUUCCUUUCAGGAGUUAAGCAAGGAUGAUUCUCAUUUUUAUAGUAAAGGUAAUAAAAUUGCUUUAGCUUAGUUCAAAAACAAGUUUCAUACCUGUGGUCAGAAGAUUGCUUUAGCUUAAUUCAAAAGUCAAUUUCAUACCUGUGGUCAGAGGAUUAAGUCCAACAAGUAGAGUAAGGAUAGCAGGUAUCAUGUAUAUAACCUGUUAGCAAAACAGAAUAUUCCCAAGUAUCACACAAUUAUAGAAUUAUUUAGCAUAGGGAAUGGACCUAGAGUACAAAUCUUUCAAAGGAUACAGGAAGGAAGGAAGAUAGAAUCACUUGCUGUCAUUGUCCUUAAUUAAGUUUGAGUAACUUCUGGACAUCAUGGGAUUAUGGAUAGAGUUUGAAUGGACCUUAGAAGUUAUCAUACUAAACCCUUCUUUUUAUAAUUGAGAAAACCUGAAGCUCAGAUAGGUUCAGUCUUCUAGCCCAGGAUCACACAGAUAAGUAUGGCAGAACCUGGAUUUGGAGCUAGGACCAUUGAUGACUGAAUCCAGUGCUCUUUCCAUUAUACUAUACUGCUUCAAAUGCCCAUGAAGAUCCAGUUUUCCAGUUUGAAACUAUUAGCAUGCUAUGAAAAGGAGCACUACAAACACAGUUAUGCCUUAUGAGGCCAUAUAUCCGGCCCCCACCAUACUUCUGGAAGGGGCACCUCUUUCAUUGGUGGUCAGUGAGAGGAACACUGUAUGUGGUGGCUCCACAAAGCGCAGCCACAGCGUCACUCACAGUACUACUUCCAGUGACAUAAUCCUUUGCAUGGAGCCUUAGAAUGAGGCACUACACAAAGGAUUAUGUGGCUGCAAGAUGGAAGAUGUCAGCAUGGUGAGUGGCGAUCUAGGGGAGGGGAUACUGCUUCCCGGGUAGGGUUAGAGUUAGGGUUUGGGUUAGGUUUUUAUAGUCCAGCCCUCUUAACGGUCUGAGGGGCAGUGAACUGGCCCUCUGUAUAAAAAGUUUGGGGACCCCUGCCUUAUGUUCUCAAUAGAUUUGGGCUUCCAAAACAUGCCUGAACCAUAACUUGCUUAUUUUAGGAAAUUUUUAAUGACAAAAUAUUGACAUAGUAAUGUAAAAUGUAAGCUAAACAAGGGACCUACUAGAAAACUCAACUGUUAAUAACUUACUUUAAUAAAUCUUGACUUUCUUUUCUACUUUAAGAUGAACCUUUCUCAUAGUAUUUUAGAGGUAAAAGGAGCCUAGAGCUCAUACCUAGGUGUUAUUUACACUUAAGCUUACUACUUACUUCAGACCAAUCUGGAUGCUUAUUUAAAAGAAAAUAUGAAGUAUCUUACCAGCUUUUAAUUUAACUCUUUCUCUGUCAAUCUAAUCUCAUGGGAAACCUGAAACAUUUUCCGAUUCAGCACCUACUUAGUACUAUCAAUCACAGUAUAAGUAAUAUAAAUUGGGGGUUUUGACUCAGAGAGUUACAAAGUAUUAUUUUAAAUUUUCUCUGAUUUAAAAACAUCAUGGUUUAAGUCAAAAUGACUUUUAGUAGCUUUUAUUUACAAAGAGGUGAAAAGAGUGAAAGUGGAAAAUGUAGAUAAAGAGACAGAAUCUAUUGAGAUCUGUGUAAACCUUAAAAUCUCUCAGACUUGUGAAUUUUAGAAUUUUCCCCAUCGGGGAAUUCUUAAUUGGAACAAAUUCCCUACUGAGAAACAUUCCCCAUUUUGAUGUGAGAACUCGCCAGGAGGACCUCUACUCCAACCGUACUUAAGACUGCUUUAGGAGAGAGAACUCCUUGCUAAACAAUGAAAGUACUUGGACCCAUGCUUAUAAUAAGGCAAGGAGUUCUUUGAGCCAGGCCUGUUUUUAGAAUUGAUACAAUGGGAUGCUAGGUACCUAAAAGGGUCGGGCAAGUUUUCUCUUGAUGAGAUUAGUUGACUCAGCUGUGUUUUCUCUCUCAUUCAGAUUUACUGAGGAGAUUGGUCAACACAGCAGCAUUUUUUCUAAUUCAGACUUACUGAGGAGAUUGGUCGACUUAGCAGGAAUUUAGAUGGGCAGUCCUUUGGAAAGCGUCUACAGUGAUUGGUAGAUGUAGGGACUUAGGGGAGGUGACAUGGGAGAAAAACCCCUAUAUAAGAAAAAGCAGAAUCUCUUGAGGAUAUAUCCUUUUGGAAGAAUUCCUUUUGGAGGAUCUCUGAUGAGGACCUCUUGGGAAGAAUCUCUUGAGAUAGACUCUGGAGAAGGAAAGCUCUUGGAGGACAAUCUCUAAGGAGGUCUCACUGGAGCUCCUCUAAGGGGACUCUGUCCCUCUGGAGGCUCUGGAGAGAGGCCCUUUGGAACAGUCUCUGGCUGGAAGGCUCUCUGGUGAAGUCAGCUGAGAUGGAGCUGGCCUGGUGUCACUAGAAUCCUUGUUUAGGCAGACCUUGUGGUGAGUGUUAAAAGACUGACUGACUGAUUCUCUCUCUUGGCUUGAGGCCCUUCAUAAUUAUUCCUUUCCUACUCUUUCUCUCUUUCUCCAAUUCCUCAUUAUAUUAUUAAUUAAAAAUCUCUAUAAAACCCAGUUGACUUGGGUAUUUGAAUAAUCGGGAAUAUUACCCUGGCAACCACCUUAUAUUUGAUUUAAAACCAAGACACUGUAGUGAAACAUAUUUUCUGCGGUCAAAUUUACUCACCCUCUCUUAUAUCUAUCACCAUUUAUAUCUUCCACUAUUUUAAUCACUACAGUUUAUGGGCUUCACUAUUUUAAAUCUCACACCUGCUAGGUGUGGCAAUCCAGUCAAAUUAUGCAGGCAUCAUACACAGUGCUCUGCCAUAGUACUGUGGUUCAUUUAUUAUAUAGGUUUUCAGGUACAUACUUCUUUGACACACAAUCAAUUUUCUACAUAUGUGACAUUCUACAUUCUGACUGAAUAUUAUCAUAUCACCUAAACAACACUCUUGUGAUGUUACUACAACAAAGAAUUCUGUGAUCUUUUACUACUUUCUACAAUACUCUGGGAUGUAUAGGAAUAACAUGAAUAAAGUUGUUUGUAGGUUAGUAUCCCUUGACCUACUGAGAGGAUUAUUGUGCUUUUGAUCAGCUUUCACUAUCAAUCACAAUUGCUUAGGAGAUGAAUAACAAAACAUUUUCCUAUCUAGGUGCAAAGUUAAAAGGUGACUUAAAGCAGACCAGAUUUGGGGUUUUUCUCAAUUUACAAGUUGUUUUUCUUGUGUUACUUUGAAGUGCCUAGCAAUGCUGCCUGGUUUCUGUUCAUCAAAAAAUUCAUUGGAGUGUGAUAACUGUAAGGAAAGAUUUAUUAUGGUUCUCAAGAAUUUGGCCAGUGUUUAUUGUAGUGCCUUGGAGUGUAUCUGUGCUUAAUAAAAGGAGGGCUUAUAGGCUUCAAUUCUGUAAUUGCAAUCUUUUGAGGAUAAUAAUCUAGGGGGAUUAAAGUGGGAGAUAUAUGUAUAAAUUUAGAUAUAUAUCUACAUAGAUAUAUAUCCUAUAAGUAUUUGCUCUCAUAUUAUUUCUCUUGCAUUGGGGAGAGAAUAAUAAUCAUAACAAAUCCAUUAGUAGGGAAAAUUGGAGAGAGAGAAGUCACAGAUGGGGGUUAGGGUGGGGCUUUUUGGUCUGGGGGCGCUGAUUUGCAGCUUCCAACUUCCCACUGUGACUGUGUCAACCAGUGGGGCAUCUGUUGGCUCCCUGCAAUAUUCUUAACAAGCCUAACAGCCCUAAGAGCUUCUCUGGCAAAAUGAAGUCCAGUUCAGCACCCUGGCAGGAGGCUUCCUCAGGUCUUGAUUUCCACAUGGAGUCUUCAGCCAGAAGUCCAUCAGUGCAGUCUCCUCCAAAGCCAAGGUAGGAAUCUCAGCACUCACCAGUAUAUUAGUGGGGGAACUGAGAAGGAAUCAGAGUUGCCAGAUACUUGGGGAAUAAAUAUAAGGUAGCACCACUUCUUCCUCCCCUCCCCCCAAGCUGAGCUGUUAACAAUGAAGUCAGGUCUGACUAAAGCUGAAAGAGUAAGUGAAAAUCCCCCUCAGCCUCCUUCUUCUUUAGAUGAUGUACUUUGUAAUUCCUCUCCUAACACAUUGAAUAUGAUUGAACCUUUAGUAAAAAACAAAAUAUCUAUUUAUUUGGGUAAAAGGGUUGAAUUAUAAUAAGGAUAGAGGGAAACAGGAAAUCCCUAGCUAUUUCCCUUCUAUAGAUGAUUUCAGGGAUUUGAAUCAGGGAGUCUUCUUUAGAAUAGGCUUGGAUUUUUCCCUAAGAGAAAAGUCUCUAGGCUAAAGGUAUAUCACUGAUGAAAAACCGGAUCUUCUGUAUAUAUGUAGUCUUCACAGUAAGUUAGUUCCCUCUCCCUUCAGACCAUGGAGAAAAGAAACUUUAGUUUCCCAAAUGCAACUCCCUUUAGCUUGGCUGGAAAGUUCCAUCCCAUCCCCAGAUGGCAGCUGGGUUCCAUCUCAUCUCUUCCUGAGACAGCUCUUCAAAUCCAGUCUUUUCCAUUCCUUUUGGCAUUUCCCUCUUACACACCAGCAAGCUGAUGCAGGAUACAGGGAAAGAGUCUCCUCCAAAAUCAAGGAAACAAAGAGUCCUCCUCCAGCCUGACUCACCAAUACAGAGUGAAUGAUUGAAUCUUUGGGCUGUUCUUUUUAAAGCAGUUUUCUCAAUGUCACUUCCUGUUGCUCCCCCAUUUUAUGGGAACCAGGAACCGAUCUCAGCCUCCCAAUUUGCCUAGCACUUGGGGGAGGGGCAGUGGUCUUUGGAGGUGUCACUCUAGUAAGUGACUUGUGAAUUCAACCAUGUAUCCUUAGUUGAUGUUGGUCAACACCCUCCUCAGGGGGGGGAAUUGUAUAAUUUUUGUAAAAUUCUAGAUUCAAAAAUUUUUGAGAGAAAUUUCAGGAAAAGAAGCUUUCUAACUCCCUGAAUCAAGAAAGUGAACUGUUUAGAGAAUGUGCCAUAAAGAAGCCUAUACUGCAUCAAAAGAUCCAGAAUGAACUGUGGGAUGUAAUGAACUGAACUGAAGGGGGUUGAACAUAAUGUUUAUUCUGAAUGUAAACUCUUAUGCCAAAGGGGGCUGACCCCUAACUGGCUUUUUGUCAAUGUGCCUAGGGAACAUUGGUUUUGCUCUCUCUCUUCUAUUUCCCUCUUAUCUCCAACUAUUGUAGUUUCCUCCUAGAAAGUACAAUACUGUAUGUACCUUUAGCUAGAAUAUCUUUAGAGGUAUAAGCUAGUUAUGUUAAAUGAUUCAUUGGGGAUCCCAAAUCUCACUUCGUCUAUUUUAAUGAAAUCAAUCUGCAACCUUUAACAAUCAAUCAAUAAGUUAAAGCACCCCUACUUAACCAUUAAAGUAUGAGAGUUCACAAGUCACUUACUAGAGUGACACCUCCAAAGGCCACUGCCCCCCCCCCCCAAAGUGCUAGGCAAAUUGGGAGGCUGUGAUUGGUUCCCGUAAGGUGGGGGAGUGACAGGAAGUGAUGUUGAGAAAAUUGCUUUAAAAAAGAACAGUCUAAGGAUUCAGUCAUUCAUUCACUCUGCAUUGGUGAGCCAGGCUGGAUGAUCACUCCUUGCUUCCUUGGCUUUGGAGGAGACUCUUUCCCUGGAUCCUGCAUCAGCUUGCUGGUAAGUGGCUGAGAUUCCUGCUUUGGCUUUGGAGGAAGCUGCACUGAUGGACUUCUGGCUGAAGACUCCAUGUGGAGAUCAAGACUUGAGGAAGCUUCCUGCCAGGGUGCUGAACUGGACUUCCCUUUGCUGAAGAAGCUCUUAGAGCUGGUAGGCUUGUUAAGAAUCUGUCUCUUUAUCUACAUUUUCCACUUUCACUCUUUCCACCUCUUUGUAAAUAAAAGGUACUAAAAGUCAUUUUGACUUAAGCCGUGAUAUUUUAAUAUUGUCAACCACAUAAUUACUUUAUAACUCUCUUAUUGAGUCAAAAACCUCAAUUUAUAUUUCUUACAAUAGCAAAAGAAGAAUAAAGUUAGAAAAUGAAAGCAUAAUUGUUCCCUUCAUUAUGAUCUUUUGAUUAUUAGUUACCUUGAUAACCACACUCCUAAGUCACUAUAGUUCUUUCAGAUUUAAAACAGGCUUUUUAGUGGUUUUUUAAAUCCUUUUAAAAAACAUUUAGGAAGGGAAAGGCUUCUUUAAGAGAGAAACAAUUCCUAACAAGUCUAAAUAUAACUGCACAAAAGAUUGGAACUGGAGCUAGAAAUAUCACUGAACUGGAAGUCAAGAGGCUUUGGAUCUACUUUUGAUCUUGCGUAAGGCACAUCUACCAUUUGCUUGCAUAUAAAAUGAAGGACUAAACUAGAUGGUUUUUAAGGUCCCUUCCUUCAACAUUGAAUUCUAUCAACACAGAACAAUUUUAAAACUUUUGCAACCAAUUUUCUCACAGCAGCUAUUGAAAACAGGUUAUGUCCUCACUUAAGUCCUCAAAAUUAUGUAUUUAUUUACCUUGAAUGAAUACUAAGUUUCAAGGUAGAUAUUUUUAAAUUUACUUUUAAUUGUCCUACAAACUGGUCUAAUAGGACCUGGAAAACAAUAAUGUUCACUUUGUGCACUCAAUAAAUAUGGUAAAAUCUAUUUUUAAUUCUGAUAUUUGGUUCGUUUGGGGAGCUGUUUCAGCAGGUGUUUAUACCAAAAUUUCAGCGAUCAAAUUUGACUCUUUACUGAAUAUGGAUAAUAAAUCAAUAAGCAAUCAUGUGCCAGGCUAUAUGCUAAGCAUUGGGGAUAUUAAUGAAAGCCAAAAGUCCUUUCCUUCAAACAAAAGCUAAAAAUCAAAGGAGGGAAAAGGGGCUAGGAAAGAUACCUGAGGGAAACCUGAUUAAGGAGGAACUAACCCAUCAGAGGAAGGGACUGUAGGGGCAGAGAAGUGGCAUUUCAUCUAAGAAGGCUGAUCUUUGGAUAUUCUUAAAAUGCUUUCUAACUUAAGAUCAGUCAAGGUCACAGUCACCUCCUGUGAUCUCUCCAUUGCCUCAAUCUUGGGAAUAGAGGUUGGGGCAGAGAGAAACAGUGACUAGAGAAGACAGUGGCAUCUCUGAUAUAACUAACUCAUUGGCUCUCAGAGGAUGACAUUAACAGUGGCCACCAUUCCACUACAGGAAGAAGGGGACAGUAAUAUAAUUUAUGUCAUAACAAAAUAAAAUCAUAUAUUAUAAAUGUAUUAUAAUAAGAGUCUGCUGAAUCAUUAAACUGAAUUAAAUUCAACAAUCCAAUGUACAUGGAAAAUGAUUAGAAUAAAAUCAGAUCACUGACUUCUAUUGCUACACAAUUCAAAAGAAAGCAGAAAUCUAGGAAUCCUUUCAUUGGAAAUGUAAUAUAACCAUGCUUGCUCAGACCAAACAGAACUGAAUAUGAUCUACAAAUAUAAAUUGAAGAUAUUCUAUAAUAUUAUACUACUACUCAAUUAUGUAUAAUGCUUUAAGAUUUAAACAUUUUAACAGCUUAAUGCCCAUUUUACAGAUUCAACAUUUAAUAAGUUUCCACUAUGGUGAAACAUGUAUUGGUUAUGUGACUCUUGGACUUAACUUUAUUAGUGCUUAGGCAACUGUAAAAUUAUUGAAUCAUUACUGAUCUGCUUUGGUAGAUGGAGGGGUUUUGUUUGUUUACUUGCUUUUAUUGGAUAUCAGUGAAACUACAGAACAGUACCACUACCUCUCCCCCCUCCCCAAUAUGGUGAGGAAAUUAAGGCUCAAAGAAAAUAGGUGACUUACCUGGCAACAGUCACAUAUCUAUUGUCAGAGAUGAAAAUCAAACCUAAAUCUUGACUCAAAGUUCAGCAUUUACUUGCUAAAUUACUUGCAAAGGAAAGACUUCUAAUAAUCCCUCUUUCUCAUGAAUUCCAAAUUAUAGUGUUUAGAAGAACUGAGUAUUUUAUAUUAUGCUUUGAUUUUAUUUUGCAAUUAUCCUUUAUAGACUUAGUAAAGACAACCCUGGUACAAGUGAUUUCCUGGUCAAAAUUAAAAGGAUAAGUCUUAAAGAAGUUGCUAGCUGAUACUUGCAUGUUUAGAGGCUAAAAUGAAAGCAAAAUAUGAACAGUUGCUUGCUGGAGCAGCUUAAAAAAGUCUGCUUUUUCUGCUUUCACCAAAGGCAACUGAUGAAAGCAAUAAAGAUCUCCAAGUUUUCAUUCAUAUUUCUAUAUUUUAAAGGAUUUGUUAUUUCACUGAUGUGGGUAUUUAGCUAAUGUUGCAUUUUGUAGUCUUCUCAUAUAAAACCCUUACUUCCUUAGUUAGAAUUGAUACUAAGUAUUUAUUCCAAGGCAGAAGAGAGGUUAAGAGAUUAGACAGUUGGGAGAAAAUGACUUGCCUACAGUCAUAUAGCUAGGAAGUGUCUGAGGCCAAAUGUGAACCCAGUAUUUCCUAUCCCUAGACCUGGCUCUCUAUCUACUGCAGCUUUCCCAUCAAUAAAUUAAGUAGUAAGAGCUACUCCAAUGUGUGGGAAUCUUCAGAAAAUACUUUAUAUAUAAGAAGGUAUCCACAGUUUGCCAUCAGGUUUUUUUUUUUCCUUUCAUGGAAAAAGGCUUUAAAGCAUCUGAUAUGCAAGUAAAUUCAGAUGGGUAAAAGAACCAGACAAAGAAGGGUAUAGUGUGUUAUGUGAAAUUUAAUUCAUACUCACCAUCCACAGUUCUGCAUCUGGGUCAUUUAUCUGUAAUAACAAAACAGGAAUUGAAACUUAGAAGAGCACACAGAGAAAAGAUCGUCAAAUUCCACUCCAUCCCAAAUUUAUAAAAUCUACCCUGAUGGUUAAAUGAGCUAUUUUAUUAAAGGAAAUUUUCAUACAAGCUAAAAUGACGGGGUGGCUUUUACUAUUUACAAAAAAUAUCCUGGGUCUCUAAAGGUCAGGCUUAGAAUGGAUAAGGGAUAAGAAAAAAGGUUUGAAGGUGACCAUAGAGAAGUGUUGAGAAAAUAAUAAGAAGCUAUUAGGUAAAAGGUAUCAAGGGGGACAUGAUGAGAUUUAAAGCUAAAAAAGACUGUAGGGAUCAUCUACCUAGUACAACCUCUCACUUUACAGGUGAGGAAUCUAGGUGGAGGCUGUUUCAAUUGUAUUUAUGAAUUUUAACCAGAUCUUUAAUUCCCAAAAUGGGGCUCUUACCACAGCCUCCAUCUGUAGGUCCUACAGGCAUUUGGCAAGCACUUUCUACCAUGUUUUCAGAAGCUGUUGCUUGAUGUUCACAGGAAGUAUGAAGCAGUUAAAUGAAAAAUUACUACAAAUAAAUAUCAGGACUCAACUCUGACAGCUGAAUUUAUUUGGGCUCCUCCCAUUCAAAAACCACAGCCAUCUCAAGAUGCCUACAGAUCAUGGGAACAUAGAUUUUUGGAAUGAAAAGGACCUUGCAGAUUAUUUAGUCAACUUUCUCAUUUUGCAAUUGAGGAAACAGAUCCAGAAAGAUUAAAUCGCCUGCCCAAGGUGACAGUAGAAAUUCAGGUGAUAAAGUGACCUGGAGGUGUUAGAUGGUAAAGUGGCCUAGAGUUGGGAAGACCCAAGAUCAAAUCUAACCACAGCUCCUUACUAGCUGUGUGACCCUGCUCAAGCCAUUUUACCCUGUUUGCCUCAGUUUCCUCAUUUGUAAGGAAGGAGAAGAAAAUGGCAAACCACUUCAAUUUCCAAGAAAACCUCAAAUGGGGUCAUAAAGUGUCAGGUAUAUUCAUGAAUAGUGAUGUACAGGGGGAAAACCAUUAAUUUGGAAGUCAUAACCUGUAGCAUACCAGGCAUAUUAGCAUCUUGGAAGAAUGAUUGAUAUAUGGAUAUUGUAUCUUAUGUAUUCAUAUGCCAGACUCAUGGUCAUGUUACUUAUUGAUUAUUGUAUUGCUGAAUCUUCAAUCCAAAGGACAAAAGUAUUCCUGAGUAGGACAUUAUCAGCCACAGAGUCCUAGCUCAAGCCUUGUUAGAACACAUUCUUUUCCAAGUUGCAUGUUGGACUUUGAUUUCCUGAUCAAUCCAACCAAUGUUAAAGCCUAUGCCAUGCCACAUGUUCAUUAGUUACCUCCCACUCCUCAUUCCUAAAUUCUCCAAUAAAAGUUGGAGGGCACAUAUGGAGCCUUCUCUCACUUCCGUCUGGGGAGCACAGCGACAUGUAGGCCAUAUUUUUAACUCGUUCUCUGAGUCUUUAUUCCUUUGUUUCUCCCUCUGUCUCUAUUAUCUCUUCAUCCAUUUUCCUCCAGUCUCCAUUCUCCUUCUCUGGUCACCACCCAUGAGUAAAUUAUAUAGGAACUGCAGGGAGUUCCUACAUAACCAGUUUUGCUACUUAUUCUGGCAUUAAAUUUUCUCCCUGUAAGAUUUCUUCCUAACAGUAAUAAAUAGUAUUUAUACAGAUCUUUAAGGUUUGCAAGGCACUUUAAAAACAUCUCAUUGAUCCUGGCAACAAUUCUAAGAGGUAGGUGCUAUUACUACCCCCUUUUUAUAGAUGAGUUAACUGAGGCAUACAGCAGCUCAAUGAUUUGUCCAGGAUCACACACAGCUAGUAUCUGAGAUUGUAUUUGAACUUGGGUCUUUUGGACUUUGGUUCCAGCUCUCUCUAUUCACUGGGCCACCCUAGCUGCGUCUCCUCCUGAACCCUGGGUGAUGAAAUGCAACAACCUUGCCUCCAACUUGUUUUCCCUUCUGUUUCUUAGGAAUCCUCUCCUCUCCCUCUUUCUUCUAGUCCCCUCCCCCCACUUCCAGCUCUCUCCCACCAAUCACAGACACAGACCCACUGCAGGCUGACACCAGAACCUGCGCCUGCAUCUGGAAUUAGGCUUUUGGGGCUGAGCCUGAGCUGACCUGUACAUAGGCAGCCAGCGAGAAGAAGGUGGCCAUAACGAAAUUGCAGCUUCUCCAUAGGGUCUCAGCUGGGAACCCCUCCAGCGCCAUCUCACCCACUUCAGAAGGGAGGCCUAGAUAGUAAGAGGGCUCUAGGAGCGCAGUUUGUGACGCGGAGAGGAGCAGCGUUCUGACCACGCCCACGUCACACAUCACUCCCACCCCAGGGCUUGGUGACGUUUGACCCGAAGGACCCGGAAAAGCGUGGAGGCAACCCAUAGAGUUCCUGAGUAAGACUUAACAGACUAUGUGUGGAAAGGCAAGAUGAUACAGAGCAUAGAAUACAAAUUAAGAAAAGAUCUUCAAGAAAGAAGCUUGAAAUUUUUAUAUCCAGAGAAUGAACUGUUGCAGAAAGAUGCCGAAACCCUACACUUCAUCAAGAAGAUCAAGAAUGAACUUUGGAUGUGAUUGAUUGGACUGAACUUUUGAUUGAACAUUUAUUGUAACUGUACACAUUUAUGCCAAAAGGGACUGCCCCUAAUUGUCUUUCUGUCAAUGCGCCUAGCAAAACAUUGGUUUUGCUUUCUUUUCUUUUCUAUUUCCUCUCUCACUAUUCUAAUUUCUCUUAGAAAAUUGAAUAUUGUGUAUAUCUUUAGUUAGAAGUGAAUUUAGAACUACAAAAUGAUUAUGUUAAAUGAUCAAUGGGGAGACUAGUCUCCCAAUGAUCAUCAGGGGGGAUUGUAAACCUUAAAAUUCCUUAGACUUAUAAAUGUUGGAAAUUUCACCAUUGGGAAAUUUUAUACUUGGAAAAUUUCUUACUGAUAGUCUAUUGGAAUGUAAACCCCAUUGGCAUGGGAGGUUCCUCCUCCUCCCUUCUUAAGAUUACUUUAGGACAGAAACCUUUUGCUGAACAAUGGAAAGGACUUUGACCUAUGCUUAAGCAUAGAACAGGAAUUUCUUUGAGUCAUGAUUGAUUUUAGAAUUGAUACAAUGGAGAUACUUGGAAUCAAUCUCCACCCUACUCAGUCCUAACAGGAUUGAGGAAGGGCUGCAGCAUAGAUCAAAAUUUAAUUAUUCCAAUCUCUACCCUACUCAGGUUAACAGGAUUUAGGAAGGGCUGUAGCAAAGGAUCAAAGAUAUAAUUAUUUGAAAAUAUGACCUUCAACAGACAUGUGCAAAGCCAGAGACCUCUGGGCGGUCCUGGGUUAAGCUAGAGCCUCCAUUGGCACAGGGAAAUUGAUGGACAGUGAUUGGUAGAUAUGAGAACUGAGGGGAGGGAACUUGGAUGGUUUCCUUAAAGAGAGAGGGGUCUGAAGACUCAGAGUGGUGGUGGUGGUUGAGGAGUUUGUCUGAGUGGUUGGAGUGUGCUCUGAGAAGCUUGCUCUGAAGGAAGCUGAAGGUGGGGGCCUCUGAGACUGUUUCUCCAUUUUGGUCACGUGAGUAAUAGGGACUGAUCUCCUUUCUUUGCCCCAGCUAUCUAAGGGCUUGGGCCUUUUGGCCCAGCCUAAACAGAAGGGGUAUUUAAGCCCUAUUCCCUUCUCUCCCUUUUCUCUCUCUCUAUCUCUAAUUCCUUUCUUCCUCCUGUUGUAAUUAAACUCCAUAAAAGGUUGACUG